rnacentral:tmRNA from 1 species
CUGCUUUAAAAGCGGCGUUAUUAAUCCUAUAUUAAAAAUGCUGGUUCGCCAGCUAUGGCGAUAAACGUGCUGUGGAAUAAGCAGAGCGGACCCGGGGGCGGUACCCGGCGCCUCCACCAUUUUAGCCCAAAUUUAUGGCCAGCAAGGCCAACUUCGCGAAUUCGGGCUAAAAGAUUGGGGGCGAAAUAGGAUCGACGCAUGUGGUAAAGGCAGUAUUUUCGCUCGGUAUGGUACCCGCCGUUAUCGGGCCAUGUAGUAGUUGCAAAUGACAACACUGCUCCGGUCGCAAUCGCAGCCUAACGGCAUGACCACGCAUCCAGCCUCCAAAUUCGCGCCACUCAUCUGACAGAAUUUUUGAAAG